rnacentral:rRNA from 1 species
UACGUAGGAUGCAAGCGUUGUUCGGAAUUACUGGCGUAAAGAGUACGUAGGCGGUAUGGUAAGUCUGAUAUUAAAGACUGAGGCUUAACCUCAGGACUGUAUCGGAAACUGCCAAACUAGAGGACAAUAGAGGAAGUCGGAAUUCUCAGUGUAGCGGUGAAAUGCGUAGAUAUUGGGAAGAACACCAGUGGCGAAAGCGGACUUCUGGUGU